rnacentral:rRNA from 1 species
GAUUAAGUUAUUAAGGGCGCACGGUGGAUGCCUUGGCACUAGAAGCCGAUGAAGGACGUUACUAACGACGAUAUGCUUUGGGGAGCUGUAAGUAAGCUUUGAUCCAGAGAUUUCCGAAUGGGGAAACCCAGCAUGAGUUAUGUCAUGUUAUCGAUAUGUGAAUACAUAGCAUAUCAGAAGGCACACCCGGAGAACUGAAACAUCUUAGUACCCGGAGGAAGAGAAAGAAAAUUCGAUUCCCUUAGUAGCGGCGAGCGAAACGGGAAGAGCCCAAACCAACAAGCUUGCUUGUUGGGGUUGUAGGACACUCUAUACGGAGUUACAAAGGACGACAUUAGACGAAUCAUCUGGAAAGAUGAAUCAAAGAAGGUAAUAAUCCUGUAGUCGAAAAUGUUGUCUCUCUUGAGUGGAUCCUGAGUACGACGGAGCACGUGAAAUUCCGUCGGAAUCUGGGAGGACCAUCUCCUAAGGCUAAAUACUCUCUAGUGACCGAUAGUGAACCAGUACCGUGAGGGAAAGGUGAAAAGCACCCCGGAAGGGGAGUGAAAUAGAACCUGAAACCGUGUGCUUACAAGUAGUCAGAGCCCGUUAAUGGGUGAUGGCGUGCCUUUUGUAGAAUGAACCGGCGAGUUACGAUUUGAUGCAAGGUUAAGCAGUAAAUGUGGAGCCGUAGCGAAAGCGAGUCUGAAUAGGGCGUUUAGUAUUUGGUCGUAGACCCGAAACCAGGUGAUCUACCCUUGGUCAGGUUGAAGUUCAGGUAACACUGAAUGGAGGACCGAACCGACUUACGUUGAAAAGUGAGCGGAUGAACUGAGGGUAGCGGAGAAAUUCCAAUCGAACCUGGAGAUAGCUGGUUCUCUCCGAAAUAGCUUUAGGGCUAGCCUCAAGUGAUGAUUAUUGGAGGUAGAGCACUGUUUGGACGAGGGGCCCCUCUCGGGUUACCGAAUUCAGACAAACUCCGAAUGCCAAUUAAUUUAACUUGGGAGUCAGAACAUGGGUGAUAAGGUCCGUGUUCGAAAGGGAAACAGCCCAGACCACCAGCUAAGGUCCCAAAAUAUAUGUUAAGUGGAAAAGGAUGUGGCGUUGCCCAGACAACUAGGAUGUUGGCUUAGAAGCAGCCAUCAUUUAAAGAGUGCGUAAUAGCUCACUAGUCGAGUGACACUGCGCCGAAAAUGUACCGGGGCUAAACAUAUUACCGAAGCUGUGGAUUGUCCUUUGGACAAUGGUAGGAGAGCGUUCUAAGGGCGUUGAAGCAUGAUCGUAAGGACAUGUGGAGCGCUUAGAAGUGAGAAUGCCGGUGUGAGUAGCGAAAGACGGGUGAGAAUCCCGUCCACCGAUUGACUAAGGUUUCCAGAGGAAGGCUCGUCCGCUCUGGGUUAGUCGGGUCCUAAGCUGAGGCCGACAGGCGUAGGCGAUGGAUAACAGGUUGAUAUUCCUGUACCACCUAUAAUCGUUUUAAUCGAUGGGGGGACGCAGUAGGAUAGGCGAAGCGUGCGAUUGGAUUGCACGUCUAAGCAGUAAGGCUGAGUAUUAGGCAAAUCCGGUACUCGUUAAGGCUGAGCUGUGAUGGGGAGAAGACAUUGUGUCUUCGAGUCGUUGAUUUCACACUGCCGAGAAAAGCCUCUAGAUAGAAAAUAGGUGCCCGUACCGCAAACCGACACAGGUAGUCAAGAUGAGAAUUCUAAGGUGAGCGAGCGAACUCUCGUUAAGGAACUCGGCAAAAUGACCCCGUAACUUCGGGAGAAGGGGUGCUCUUUAGGGUUAACGCCCAGAAGAGCCGCAGUGAAUAGGCCCAAGCGACUGUUUAUCAAAAACACAGGUCUCUGCUAAACCGUAAGGUGAUGUAUAGGGGCUGACGCCUGCCCGGUGCUGGAAGGUUAAGAGGAGUGGUUAGCUUCUGCGAAGCUACGAAUCGAAGCCCCAGUAAACGGCGGCCGUAACUAUAACGGUCCUAAGGUAGCGAAAUUCCUUGUCGGGUAAGUUCCGACCCGCACGAAAGGCGUAACGAUUUGGGCACUGUCUCAACGAGAGACUCGGUGAAAUCAUAGUACCUGUGAAGAUGCAGGUUACCCGCGACAGGACGGAAAGACCCCGUGGAGCUUUACUGUAGCCUGAUAUUGAAAUUCGGCACAGCUUGUACAGGAUAGGUAGGAGCCUUUGAAACGUGAGCGCUAGCUUACGUGGAGGCGCUGGUGGGAUACUACCCUAGCUGUGUUGGCUUUCUAACCCGCACCACUUAUCGUGGUGGGAGACAGUGUCAGGCGGGCAGUUUGACUGGGGCGGUCGCCUCCUAAAAGGUAACGGAGGCGCUCAAAGGUUCCCUCAGAAUGGUUGGAAAUCAUUCAUAGAGUGUAAAGGCAUAAGGGAGCUUGACUGCGAGACCUACAAGUCGAGCAGGGUCGAAAGACGGACUUAGUGAUCCGGUGGUUCCGCAUGGAAGGGCCAUCGCUCAACGGAUAAAAGCUACCCCGGGGAUAACAGGCUUAUCUCCCCCAAGAGUUCACAUCGACGGGGAGGUUUGGCACCUCGAUGUCGGCUCAUCGCAUCCUGGGGCUGUAGUCGGUCCCAAGGGUUGGGCUGUUCGCCCAUUAAAGCGGUACGCGAGCUGGGUUCAGAACGUCGUGAGACAGUUCGGUCCCUAUCCGUCGU